rnacentral:sRNA from 1 species
GCCUAGCCCCGAUUGAAGCAAUUGUUUGAGCUCUUUUUUAUUUUUAAAAAAUAAAAAAAGCGAGUGCGUAAAGCGGGAAGUUGC